UACAGAGGUCUCAAGCGUUGUUCGGAAUCACUGGGCGUAAAGCGUGCGUAGGCUGUUUCGUAAGUCGUGUGUGAAAGGCGCGGGCUCAACCCGCGGACGGCACAUGAUACUGCGAGACUAGAGUAAUGGAGGGGGAACCGGAAUUCUCGGCGUAGCAGUGAAAUGCGUAGAUAUCGAGAGGAACACUCGUGGCGAAGGCGGGUUCCUGGACAUUAACUGACGCUGAGGCACGAAGGCCAGGGGAGCGAAAGGG
rnacentral:rRNA from 1 species